rnacentral:rRNA from 1 species
AUGCGUGGAGGCUACUCUUUGCAGGAUCCCGGCUGUGCCUCUUAUGUCCCGUUGCUCGAGCUCCAGGUUGGUUCUGCGGAUGGGAAGGAAGCAUGCCUGUAUGGAUGUUUCUCCCCUCGUGCCGCUCUCUGUACGUCGCCACUACCUGUCAUGCCAAGUGAUUUUGGGAGUGAGGUCGUCAUCGAGGGCGUGACUCCGGUGCUACAAUGUAUGCCUGAGUUGCAGGUGUUAAGUGUGGAACCAUCUUCGCCUAUAUCAAUGGUGCUCUCGAAGGUGGGCUCUCUUGGAGCGAUGACGAUUGCCUCUCCGCCCUCUCCGCCUCCGUUGGAGCCUAGUCAACCGGAGUAUGCAUAUGUGGAGGGUGAUGGUCCAGUCACUACUAACAGGCGAUCGCUUGAACCCUUUGGAGGUGUGGUCCCUAUGGCUGAUAAAAUUGUUGUGGCCGGAGUGUUGGUGCCUAAUCCUGGUGUCCUUUUAGCCACCAAGAUUUGUGAAUUCCUCGCCAAUCUGGACUCUGAAAAUUCUGGAAAGACGAUUGGAUGCCUCUUAGAGGAAAAAGCUUUGAGGGAGAAGCACAAGAAGGGUGGCGCUAACUCUAGAUCUGGCAUCCUCAAAGAGAAAUCUUGUAGGAGCAAAAGCAAGAAGGAUAGCGCUAGAGGGGAGGCGCAAAUGGUUCCAUGA